rnacentral:rRNA from 1 species
AGAGUUUGAUCCUGGCUCAGGAUAAACGCUGGCGGCGUGCAUAACACAUGCAAGUCGAACGAUGAAACUUAGUUGAUUUCUUCGGAAUGAUUUUAAGUGGAUUAGUGGCGAACGGGUGAGUAACACGUGAGUAAUCUGCCUUACACAAGGGGAUAGCCUUUGGAAACGAAGAAUAAUACCCUAUAAAGUCAAUUUAUCGCAUGAUAGAGUGACCAAAGAUUUAUCGGUGUAAGAUGGACUUGCGUCUGAUUAGCUAGUUGGUGAGAUAAAAGCUCACCAAGGCGACGAUCAGUAGCCGGCUUGAGAGAGUGUACGGCCACAUUGGGACUGAGACACGGCCCAAACUCCUACGGGAGGCAGCAGUGGGGAAUUUUGCACAAUGGGGGAAACCCUGAUGCAGCGACGCCGCGUGAUUUAGAAGGCCUUCGGGUUGUAAAAAUCUUUUUUACGGGAUGAAAAUGACAGUACCGUAAGAAUAAGGUCCGGCUAAAUACGUG